GCCAGUUUGGCUCAGUGGAUAGAGCAUCAGCCUGCGGGCUGAAGGAUUUUGGGUUUGAUUCCCAAGGUGGUC
rnacentral:tRNA from 1 species